GACGAACGCUGGCGGCGUGCCUAAUACAUGCAAGUAGGACGCAGUUGCGAACGGGUGAGUAACGCGUAGGUAACUACCUAUUAGAGGGGGCUAACUAUUGGAAACGAUAGCCCAUACCGCAUCCUAGUAGAUGGACCUGCGUUGUAUUAGCUAGUAGGGAGGGUAAUGGCCUACCUAGGCAACGGUACAUAGCCGAGCUUGGAGGGUGAGCGGCCAAAACGGGACUUAGACACGGGCCAGGAUCCUACGGGGGGCAGCAGUAGGGGAUCUUCGGCAAUGGGGGGAAACCUGACCGAGCAACGCCGCGGGAUUGAAGAAGGGUUUCGGAUGGUAAAGCUCUGUUGUUAAGGAAGCGGUACUUAACCAGAAAGGGACGGCUAACUACGUGCCAGCAGCCGCGGUAAUUC
rnacentral:rRNA from 1 species